CAUGCAAGUCGAACGAUGAAGCCCAGCUUGCUGGGUGGAUUAGUGGCGAACGGGUGAGUAACACGUGAGUAACCUGCCCCCGACUCUGGGAUAAGCCCGGGAAACUGGGUCUAAUACCGGAUAUUACCUUUGACCGCAUGGUUGUUGGUGGAAAGAUUUAUCGGUGGGGGAUGGACUCGCGGCCUAUCAGCUUGUUGGUGAGGUAAUGGCUCACCAAGGCGACGACGGGUAGCCGGCCUGAGAGGGUGACCGGCCACACUGGGACUGAGACACGGCCCAGACUCCUACGGGAGGCAGCAGUGGGGAAUAUUGCACAAUGGGCGAAAGCCUGAUGCAGCGACGCCGCGUGAGGGAUGACGGCCUUCGGGUUGUAAACCUCUUUCAGUAGGGAAGAAGCGAAAGUGACGGUACCUGCAGAAGAAGCGCCGGCUAACUACGUGCCAGCAGCCGCGGUAAUACGUAGGGCGCAAGCGUUAUCCGGAUUUAUUGGGCGUAAAGAGCUCGUAGGCGGUUUGUCGCGUCUGCCGUGAAAGUCCGAGGCUCAACCUCGGAUCUGCGGUGGGUACGGGCAGACUAGAGUGAUGUAGGGGAGACUGGAAUUCCUGGUGUAGCGGUGAAAUGCGCAGAUAUCAGGAGGAACACCGAUGGCGAAGGCAGGUCUCUGGGCAUUUACUGACGCUGAGGAGCGAAAGCAUGGGGAGCGAACAGGAUUAGAUACCCUGGUAGUCCAUGCCGUAAACGUUGGGCACUAGGUGUGGGGGACAUUCCACGUUUUCCGCGCCGUAGCUAACGCAUUAAGUGCCCCGCCUGGGGAGUACGGCCGCAAGGCUAAAACUCAAAGGAAUUGACGGGGGCCCGCACAAGCGGCGGAGCAUGCGGAUUAAUUCGAUGCAACGCGAAGAACCUUACCAAGGCUUGACAUGUGCCAGACCGCCUCAGAGAUGGGGUUUCCCUUCGGGGCUGGUUCACAGGUGGUGCAUGGUUGUCGUCAGCUCGUGUCGUGAGAUGUUGGGUUAAGUCCCGCAACGAGCGCAACCCUCGUUCCAUGUUGCCAGCACGUAAAGGUGGGGACUCAUGGGAGACUGCCGGGGUCAACUCGGAGGAAGGUGGGGAUGACGUCAAAUCAUCAUGCCCCUUAUGUCUUGGGCUUCACGCAUGCUACAAUGGCCGGUACAAUGGGUUGCGAUACUGUGAGGUGGAGCUAAUCCCUAAAAGCCGGUCUCAGUUCGGAUUGGGGUCUGCAACUCGACCCCAUGAAGUCGGAGUCGCUAGUAAUCGCAGAUCAGCAACGCUGCGGUGAAUACGUUCCCGGGCCUUGUACACACCGCCCGUCAAGUCACGAAAGUUGGUAACACCCGAAGCCGAUGGCCUAACCACCUUGUGUGGGGGGGAGUCGUCGAAGGUG
rnacentral:rRNA from 1 species